rnacentral:sRNA from 1 species
UUCUCCUCCCUCUCCGUGCGUUUGUUCCACCAAUUUGAUCGACAUCUCUACCUUUUGCUUGAUGAUCUUUACUUGAACAACUUGAAGAGGGUUCUGCGCUCAGACACACCUGACGUUUAAGAAUUUUCUUUUAAGACCAUGGUUUUGUGGUUUUAGAUGUUUUGCUUCUCUGGAAAGUUGGUCUAAGGAAUGCACAAACCCUUUUGUGCAACAAAUCUUUUUCUUUGUUGUCUACAGUGAUGAAAGCUUGAGACUCGCCAAUCAUAAUAAUGAAAACAUGUUUCUUACUUGAGAGUUGAGACACUCCUUUAUCGAUUCUUCUUGGGUUGUCUCUUGGGUUAAUUAUAUUACCUACCUCUCUUUACAGCAAAUUUACCAUGGUUCGAAUUCAG